CUGGCGGCGUGCCUAACACAUGCAAGUCGAACGGAGAUGUUGAUUUCGGUUGACGUCUUAGUGGCGAACGGGUGAGUAACGCGUGAACAAUCUGACCUUAAGAGGGGGAUAACAACGAGAAAUCGUUGCUAAUACCGCAUAAGACCACAAUGCCGCAUGGCGAAAGGGGGUCAAAAGGAGCAAUCCGCUUAAGGAGGGGUUCGCGUCCCAUUAGGUAGUAGGUGAGGUAACGGCCCACCUAGCCGACGAUGGGUAGCCGAGCUGAGAGGCUGAUCGGCCACACUGGAACUGAGACACGGUCCAGACUCCUACGGGAGGCAGCAGUGGGGAAUAUUGGGCAAUGGGCGCAAGCCUGACCCAGCAACGCCACGUGAGGGAAGAAGGUUUUCGGAUUGUAAACCUCUGUCGCAGAUGACGAAACAAAUGACGGUAAUCUGUGAGGAAGCCCCGGCUAACUACGUG
rnacentral:rRNA from 1 species